UAGAGGACUUAUAGGCAGGACAAGCGAGAGAAAUACUAAGCUCUAAAAGGAAAAAAUAAAUCAGAUCUUAACUAUUAAUCUUUAGCUAAAUUCACGCUUAGUGCUCUGUAGUGUCAUAUAAAAUGAAUGCUAAUCAUCUAGCCUAAAAACUGAGAGACGGAACUCAUUUUCAUUCAAACUUGGAAGAAACCUAUUUUCUACCAAAGGGUCCAGAAUAAAUUAGCUUUCGAGCUCAAGUCAAGUCGCAUGUACCCGCCUCUGCUAAAAACCUAUUCCAAAUUGCGCAUGUUCGUUAUGGAUUCUUAAUUUAGUAUGUGUCAAUUGUGUCUUUUUUGGAUUCAAAUUUUAACUAAUUGUAAAGCAAGCUAGCCAAAAUACAAAUUUGUCGGACCACAAGAAAAUUGUACAAAAGAAUUGUUAAAAAUAACUCAAUAUAAAUUAAAAUGUAUUUGCAUAUUUUUUAAAAUAAAAAGAUUAAUUUGAGGAAGAUGAAAUAUUAUCAUUAUAAGACAUGAUUUCCCUUCGUUUAGCUAUAAAUCAAACUCCGACGUAAGACUAGAACUUUGAAGUCACAAAGAGUUUUUUUUUCUAUGAUAAUUAUCAAAAUAACAUUCUGGUAGAAGGAAGUAAAGACAUUGCAUUCUUAAUUGGCGGCUGCUACUUCUUUCAUACGGUUAAGUGCAGAUCCUGCUUUAAACCAAUCGAUU
rnacentral:lncRNA from 1 species